GCCGGGGUGGCGAAAUUGGUAGACGCACUACCUUGAGGUGGUAGCGCCCGAAAGGGCGUGCAGGUUCGAGUCCUGUCCCCGGCACCA
rnacentral:tRNA from 1 species